UGACAUGAAGGCAUCUAUCUGUCACUCCAUGAAUCACCAGGGUUGAUUGGGCUGAUUUAGCUAAGCAGGUGUCCCCUUCCUCCCUCACCACCCUAUGUGAUUUCCUCCCAAAGCUGCACACUUGCUCAAAGAGGAUUACCUUUCUGGAAAAAAGGACUGUGACUCAGUCAAGGGUGUAUGAAUAGCUGUUUUCCCCUGUUAGAACCUCCAAACAAGCCCUCAGGUCUCCUCAAGGAGAAAGAACACAGGGUCCUCAAGCUUUUAAGAGUCCAGAAGCAUCUAAAUGAGGUGGUGCCUUUCUUU
rnacentral:snRNA from 1 species